UCUCAUUUUCCGCUGAAUUCCGCAAGGAAGCGGGGGACCCAUUCUUCGGGGGUGAGUCCGGCGUCUGCCGGUAGGGCUAUCCUCUUCUGGCCCGAACCCGUCAGCUAACCUCGUAAGCGUAAGAGAGGAGAGAG
rnacentral:sRNA from 1 species